AGUUAAUGAACUUGAUAAAGUAUAUAUUUUGAAAAUAUAAUAAAGGUUAAUACCUAUUAACUU
rnacentral:tRNA from 1 species